GCGGUCUUGGCAUCUGACAGCCUCAAAGAUGUUGAAAAGAUUUCAACUGAGGCAGAGGGUUACCAAGCGGUCUUGGCAUCUGACAGCCUCAAAGAUGUUGAAAAGAGGAUCAUCAUGGUACCGUGAUAAUCUGACAGCUUUAAAGAUGUUGAAAAGGUGACUUAAUCUCUAUUUAAUUUUGAUAUUGACAUCAGAUCUUUUUGGUUGCAAAGCAGUUUUUACCAGAUGUUGAUAUUUGAGUGAGGGUUAUGGAUACACAGUCCUCAGUGUACAUGUACUGGUCAGUUGUAGACACUUUGAGGACAGUGUAUUUGGACAUUAUCCCUCCAUAGUAAGAUUAUUGAAAAAUGUAUAUAUGCUGUUAGUAUUUAGUAUUAUUAGUAGUAUCAGCAUUUCUCUAUAAUAUUAGUUCCACAAAAAUUUAAGUGGAAAAAAAUCACUUCAAUUCUGUUUAAAUCAAUACUUUUAAA